GUGAACACGCCAACCCAUGGAAGGAGAGUUUCAGACAUCUCUACCGUGGCGUGCACGUGAGACCAGGCUACCAGAACACACUGCACCAGGGUCGGCGCAUUGCGCAUUUUGACACAGUACAGGGUGCGCUUGAACACGUUGACAGUUUUCGCUGGCAGUGCGCUCAUUUUCCUCCAUGCUGGUACCUAUCGGGGCGAGUUUCUUGUCAUCGAUUCCGAUGUUUCACUAAUUGGAGCUGCACCAGGAAAUGUUGCAGAAUCAGUUAUUCUAGAGAGAGAAUCAGAAUCCACAGUGAUGUUUGUGGAGGGUGCUAAGAACGCUUACGCCGGCCACUUGACGUUAAAGUUCUCGCCAGACGUAGCAUCUAAUGUUCCACACAACAAACAUUACUGUCUAGAAGUUGGCGAGAAUUGUAGUCCCACGAUUGAUCAUUGUAUCAUCCGCAGCUCUUCAGUUGGUGGGUUAAUUAUGCAUGUUAUGCAAACUUCUAAUUUAAGAACUUUUAGUACUUGACAAAAUUAAAAUUAGUUUUGUUAUUUUGUCAACAUGUAAUAUUUUACAUGCAUUGGCAUCUUAAAAAAUCUAUCUGCUACUAGAUUGACAGUCUUUAAUAAACUUUGUUGUAUAGAG